GGAUGUGAAAACAAUCUGGCUGGCCAGACCAGUGUCUCUCUGGAAGCUACCUGCUCCUGCUCUUGGUUAGAGAGGAUGACCUUCCCAGAACGAAGACUGGUCUUCAGCUGAGGGUUUACCAGCAGCUGCACUCUCUUGCUAGAGCCUCCAAACAACCUCUCAAGAAACUGGAAUAAAAGAGAAAGAGAGAGAGAGAGAGAUGCCCUAGAAUGUUAUACAAUUAUUUCAUCUCUUGAUACUAAAGAGUCAAGUUGUAUUU
rnacentral:snRNA from 1 species